CGCUCAAAGGUUCCCUCAGAAUGGUUGGAAAUCAUUCAUAGAGUGUAAAGGCAUAAGGGAGCUUGACUGCGAGACCUACAAGUCGAGCAGGGUCGAAAGACGGACUUAGUGAUCCGGUGGUUCCGCAUGGAAGGGCCAUCGCUCAACGGAUAAAAGCUACCCCGGGGAUAACAGGCUUAUCUCCCCCAAGAGUUCACAUCGACGGGGAGGUUUGGCACCUCGAUGUCGGCUCAUCGCAUCCUGGGGCUGUAGUCGGUCCCAAGGGUUGGGCUGUUCGCCCAUUAAAGCGGUACGCGAGCUGGGUUCAGAACGUCGUGAGACAGUUCGGUCCCUAUCCGUCGUGGGCGUAGGAAAUUUGAGAGGAGCUGUCCUUAGUACGAGAGGACUGGGAUGGACAUACCUCUGGUGUACCAGUUGUCGUGCCAACGGCAUAGCUGGGUAGCUAUGUGUGGACGGGAUAAGUGCUGAAAGCAUCUAAGCAUGAAGCCCCCCUCAAGAUGAGAUUUCCCAACUUCGGUUAUAAGAUCCCUCAAAGAUGAUGAGGUUAAUAGGUUCGAGGUGGAAGCAUGGUGACAUGUGGAGCUGACGAAUACUAAUCGAUCGAAGACUUAAUCAAAA
rnacentral:rRNA from 1 species